UACGCAGAGACAGUCUUAAACAGGUCU
rnacentral:misc_RNA from 1 species